UACGAAGGGGCUAGCGUUGCUCGGAAUCACUGGGCGUAAAGCGCACGUAGGCGGAUUGUUAAGUCAGGGGUGAAAUCCUGGAGCUCAACUCCAGAACUGCCUUGAUACUGGCGACCUUGAGUCCGGGAGAGGUGAGUGGAACUGCGAGUGUAGAGGUGAAAUUCGUAGAUAUUCGCAAGAACACCAGUGGCGAAGGCGGCUCACUGGCCCGAUACUGACGCUGAGGCACGAAAGCGUGGGGAGCAA
rnacentral:rRNA from 1 species